CAAAAUGUAGCUUAAUUAAAGCAUUUCGCUUACACCGAAAUAAUAUCUGUGGGACCCAGAUCAUUUUGA
rnacentral:tRNA from 1 species